rnacentral:misc_RNA from 1 species
GAUGAAGAACGUAGCAAAAUGCGAUAAGUAAUGUGAAUUGCAGAAUUCAGUGAAUCAUCGAAUCUUUGAACGCACAUUGCGCCCGCUGGUAUUCCGGCGGGCAUGCCUGUUCGAGCGUCAUUUCAACCCUCAAGCCCCCGGGUUUGGUGUUGGGGAUCGGCUCUGCCCUUCUGGGCGGUGCCGCCCCCGAAAUACAUUGGCGGUCUCGCUGCAGCCUCCAUUGCGUAGUAGCUAACACCUCGCAACUGGAACGCGGCGCGGCCAUGCCGUAAAACCCCAACUUCUGAAUGUUGACCUCGGAUCAGGUAGGAAUACCCGCUGAACUUAAGCAUACCAAUAAGCGGAGGA